GGAGGAAUGGCAGAGCGGUUUAAUGCGGCGGUCUUGAAAACCGUUGACGUCGAAAGGCGUCCGGGGGUUCGAAUCCCUCUUCCUCCGCCA
rnacentral:tRNA from 1 species